rnacentral:rRNA from 1 species
UCGGGAAUUUUGCGCAAUGGGGGAAACCCUGACGCAGCAAUACCGCGUGUGGGAUGAAGGCCUUCGGGUCGUAAACCACUUUUCUCGGGGACGAUAAUGACGGUACCCGAGGAAUAAGCCACGGCUAACUACGUGCCAGCAGCCGCGGUAAUACGUAGGUGGCAAGCGUUGUCCGGAUUUACUGGGCGUAAAGCGCGCGCAGGCGGUGAAUGAAGUCGAAAGUGAAAGCCCCGGGCUCAACUCGGGAACAGCUUUCGAAACCAGUUCACUUGAAGGUGGAAGAGGGAAGUGGAAUUCCGAGUGUAGCGGUGGAAUGCGCAGAUAUUCGGAGGAACACCAGAGGCGAAGGCGACUUCCUGGUCCAAUCUUGACGCUGAGGCGCGAAAGCUAGGGGAGCAAA